UACGUAGGUGGCGAGCGUUAUCCGGAAUCAUUGGGCGUAAAGAGGGAGCAGGCGGCCGCAAGGGUCUGUGGUGAAAGACCGAAGCUAAACUUCGGUAAGCCAUGGAAACCGGGUGGCUAGAGUGCGGAAGAGGAUCGUGGAAUUCCAUGUGUAGCGGUGAAAUGCGUAGAUAUAUGGAGGAACACCAGUGGCGAAGGCGACGGUCUGGGCCGCAACUGACGCUCAUUCCCGAAAGCGUGGGGAGCAAAUAGG
rnacentral:rRNA from 1 species